rnacentral:rRNA from 1 species
CCUACGGGAGGCAGCAGUGGGGAAUUUUGGACAAUGGACGCAAGUCUGAUCCAGCCAUGCCGCGUGCGGGAAGAAGGCCUUCGGGUUGUAAACCGCUUUUUGUCAGGGAAGAAACGGGUUUCUCUAAUACAGAGACCUAAUGACGGUACCUGAAGAAUAAGCACCGGCUAACUACGUGCCAGCAGCCGCGGUAAUACGUAGGGUGCAAGCGUUAAUCGGAAUUACUGGGCGUAAAGCGUGCGCAGGCGGUUAUGCAAGACAGAGGUGAAAUCCCCGGGCUCAACCUGGGAACUGCCUUUGUGACUGCAUAGCUAGAGUACGGUAGAGGGGGAUGGAAUUCCGCGUGUAGCAGUGAAAUGCGUAGAUAUGCGGAGGAACACCGAUGGCGAAGGCAAUCCCCUGGACCUGUACUGACGCUCAUGCACGAAAGCGUGGGGAGCAAACAGGAUUAGAUACCCUGGUAGUCCACGCCCUAAACGAUGUCAACUGGUUGUUGGGAGGGUUUCUUCUCAGUAACGAAGCUAACGCGUGAAGUUGACCGCCUGGGGAUACGGCCGCAAGGUUGAAACUCAAAUGAAAUUGACGGCUUGAGAGNGACGAGACGACGACGAGGAGGAGG